GAUGAACGCCGGCGGCGUGCUUAACACCUGCAAGUUGAAAGAAGCAACUUAUUCCGAACCCUUUGGGGGGAAGAUUUGUUGAAUGAAUGGCGGGCGGGUGAGUUACGCGUGGGUAACCUACCUUGUACCGGGGGGCCACCGUUGGAAAAGACUGGUAAUUCCGCAUAAGCGCCCAACUUUGCCUGAAGCCGUGGGAAAAAUUUUUUCGGUACAAGAUGGACCCGCGUCUGAUUAGCUAGUUGGUGAGGUAACGGCCCACCAAGGCGACGAUCAGUAGCCGACCUGAGAGGGUGACCGGCCACAUUGGGACUGAGACACGGCCCAAACUCCUACGGGAGGCAGCAGUGGGGAAUAUUGCACAAUGGGCGAAAGCCUGAUGCAGCGACGCCGCGUGAGCGAAGAAGUAUUUCGGUAUGUAAAGCUCUAUCAGCAGGGAAGAUAAUGACNGA
rnacentral:rRNA from 1 species